GUGCUCGCUUUGACAGCACAUAUACUAAAACUGGAACAAUACAAAGGAGGUUAGCAUGGCCCCUGCACAAGGAUGACAUACAAUUCAUGAGACAUUCCAAUUUUAA